GGCUGUCACUUAUAGAUGGACCCGCGCCGUAUUAGCUAGUUGGUAAGGUAACGGCUUACCAAGGCGACGAUACGUAGCCGACCUGAGAGGGUGAUCGGCCACACUGGAACUGAGACACGGUCCAGACUCCUACGGGAGGCAGCAGUAGGGAAUCUUCCGCAAUGGGCGAAAGCCUGACGGAGCAACGCCGCGUGAGUGAUGAAGGUCUUCGGAUCGUAAAACUCUGUUGUUAGGGAAGAACAAAUUUGUUAGUAACUGAGCAAGUCUUGACGGUACCUAACCAGAAAGCCACGGCUAACUACGUGCCAGCAGCCGCGGUAAUACGUAGGUGGCAAGCGUUAUCCGGAAUUAUUGGGCGUAAAGCGCGCGUAGGCGGUUUCUUAAGUCUGAUGUGAAAGCCCACGGCUCAACCGUGGAGGGUCAUUGGAAACUGGGAAACUUGAGUGCAGAAGAGGAGAGUGGAAUUCCAUGUGUAGCGGUGAAAUGCGCAGAGAUAUGGAGGAACACCAGUGGCGAAGGCGGCUCUCUGGUCUGUAACUGACGCUGAUGUGCGAAAGCGUGAGGAUCAAACAGGAUUAGAUACCCUGGUAGUCCACGCCGUAAACGAUGAGUGCUAAGUGUUAAGGGGUUUCCGCCCCUUAUUGCUGCAGCUAACGCAUUAAGCACUCCGCCUGCGGAGUACGACCGCAAGGGUGAUACUCAAAGGAAUUGACGGGGACCCGCACAAGCGGUGGAACAUGUGGUUUAUUCGAAGCAACGCGAACAACCUUACAAAUCUUGACAUCCUUUGACCGCUCUAAAAAUAAAAUCUUCCCCUGCGGCGAAAAAAUGACAGGUGAUGCAUGAUUGUCGUCAACUCCUGUCAUGAAAUGUUGGGUUAAUCCCGCAACGACCGCACCCUGAGCUUAUUGCCAUCAUUAUUUGGCACUCUAGGUGACUGCCGUGACAACCGAAGAAAGGUGGGAUGACUUCAAUCUUCUGCCCCUUUUAUUUGGCUACCCCGUGCUAAAUGAAAUAAAAAGGGACAAAACCCCAAACCA
rnacentral:rRNA from 1 species